GAUGAACGCUGGCGGCGUGCCUAAUACAUGCAAGUCGAGCGAACGGACGAGAAGCUUGCUUCUCUGAUGUUAGCGGCGGACGGGUGAGUAACACGUGGAUAACCUACCUAUAAGACUGGGAUAACUUCGGGAAACCGGAGCUAAUACCGGAUGAUAUUUUGAACCGCAUGGUUCAAAAGUGAAAGACGGUCUUGCUGUCACUUAUAGAUGGAUCCGCGCUGCAUUAGCUAGUUGGUAAGGUAAUGGCUUACCAAGGCAACGAUGCAUAGCCGACCUGAGAGGGGGAGGGGCCACAGUGGAGCUGAGACGCGGCCGAGCGUCCUAGGGGAGGCCGAAGUGGGGAAUCUUCGCAAAUGGGGGAAAGCCUGAAGGAGCAGCGCCGGGGGGAGGAAGAAGGUCUGCGGGUGGAAAAACUCUGUUAGGGGGGAAAAACAUAUGUAUAAGAAACUAUGCACUUUUUGACGGUACCUAAAGAAAAAGCACCGGCUAACUACGUG
rnacentral:rRNA from 1 species